GUUGUGUUUGCUGCAACUCGGGAGGCAAGCCAGUCCCUUUUAACCAUGUUCAGAGUUGCACCCUUCACUGGACUAUUAUUCUUCAUCGCUGGGUUGUUAUCCAACCUGUUGUUCAAAUUCCCCAGACUAUUACCUGUCUGCCUGUGUGUCAACAUUGGCUGCAUGGUCGUAGCAGUAGUUGGAGGACUGUUGAUAUGCGUUGACUUGGCCAUAACUUCCUGGGAUCCCAAUGUUCAACAUCAU